UACGGAGGGGGCUAGCGUUGUCCGGAAUUACUGGGCGUAAAGCGUGCGCAGGCGGUUAUGUAAGACAGGUGUGAAAUCCCAGGGCUUAACCUUGGAACUGCAUUUGUGACUGCAUAGCUAGAGUACGGUAGAGGGGGAUGGAAUUCCGCGUGUAGCAGUGAAAUGCGUAGAUAUGCGGAGGAACACCGAUGGCGAAGGCAAUCCCCUGGACCUGUACUGACGCUCAUGCACGAAAGCGUGGGGAGCAAACAGG
rnacentral:rRNA from 1 species